rnacentral:rRNA from 1 species
UAUAGGUUUGGUCCCAGCCUUCCUGUUAACUUUCAAUAGACUUAUACAUGCAAGCAUCCACGCCCCGGUGAGUAACGCCCUUCGAAUCACACAGGACUAAAAGGAGCAGGUAUCAAGCACACACUCUUGUAGCUCACAACGCCUUGCUUAACCACACCCCCACGGGAGACAGCAGUAACAAAAAUUAAGCCAUAAACGAAAGUUUGACUAAGCCAUAUUGACUAGGGUUGGUAAAUCUCGUGCCAGCCACCGCGGUCAUACGAUUGACCCAAGCUAACAGGAGUACGGCGUAAAGCGUGUUAAAGCAUCAUACUAAAUAGAGUUAAAUUUUAAUUAAACUGUAAAAAGCCAUAAUUAUAACAAAAAUAAAUGACGAAAGUAACCCUACAAUAGCUGAUACACCAUAGCUAAGACCCAAACUGGGAUUAGAUACCCCACUACACUUAGCCCUAAACACAAAUAAUUAU